rnacentral:rRNA from 1 species
AUGGUGAGGAAGCUCGAUGGUGGUCGCGGCCGCCUUGCGGAGGCGGUGGAAGCCGUCAACGAUCACGGUGCCGGGGCACUACACCCGGCCGCCUCGAGCCAAAAUUUGGAGGUGUGCGAGUACCUGGUCGAGGAUGUCGGGGUGAAUGUGGAUGCCGUUGACGAAGCAGGAAGAACACCUGUGGUUUGGGCAAUUAUUGUUAAAGGUGGGCAAGUGGAUAUUGUUAGGUAUCUUCUUGAUCAUGGUGCCAAUCCAGACAAUGCCGACAGAACAGGGAUUACUCCUCUCCACGAGGCCGUGGAACGAGGGCACUGUGAAGUAGUAGAAGCUUGCUCUCUAGAGGUGCUUAUGUCGAUCCGUUUUCUACGAUUGAUGGAACACCGUUGCAUGUCGCUGCUGAACAUAAGCAGGAAUAGGCCAUGA